CAACCUGAUCCGCAUGCCGCGUGAGUGAAGAAAGGCCUUCGGGUUGUAAAGCUCUUUUAUUGAUGAAGAUAAUGACGGUAAUCAAAGAAUAAGUCCCGGCAAACUUCGUGCCAGCAGCCGCGGUAAUACGAAGGGGACUAGCGUUGUUCGGAAUCACUGGGCGUAAAGCGCAAGUAGGUUGUUAAUUAAGUCAGAUGUGAAAUCCUCGCUCUUAAGGUGAGAACUGCAUUUGAUACUGAUUAACUAGAGUACAGAAGGGGAUAGUGGAAUUCCAAGUGUAGCAGUGAAAUGCGUAGAUAUUUGGAGGAACACCAGUAGCGAAGGCGUCUAUCUGGUCUGUAACUGACACUGAGUUGCGAAAGCAUGGGGAGCAAACAGGAUUAGAUACCCUGGUAGUCCAUGCUGUAAACGAUGAGUGCUAAACGUUGGUCUUUUAGAUCAGUGUUUGAGCUAACGCAUUAAGCACUCCGCCUGAGUAGUACGGUCGCAAGAUUAAAACUCAAGAAAUUUGGCGGGGAUGGGUUGACUUGGGGAUUGGCCCGCCCA
rnacentral:rRNA from 1 species